UCUGAACUAACUGGAGGAUGCUCACCAUAUCUUGUCCACUGCGGAAUAAAUAAAGACUUGAUGGACAGGUGGAAAUAGCACGUAUCCCCCACCACUCUCUAUUCUUUCAUCCAAAUAGCUUUGCACCAUUCAAGCUACAAGUAGGAGUACCUAUUUUAAUAUUGGUAUCUGGGUGUGUUAGAUGUGACAUUGGCACAUUGUGGUCCUUCCCUUCCUCCUCACUUCUCUUUUGCAACCUUAUACAUAUUUAUAUUCAGGUCAAAGGACAAUUUAAGGGAGUUGUAAUGUUUACCUAUGUGCAGUUUCCUGGUCAUAAAAAAAAAGUUUGUAUGAAGGAACCUUGGCUGAAGUUUUAAUUACAAACUGAGUACUAACAUUCUGUGAAAAUUUUAGUUAGGCAGCUACUUAUUUUUCUGACAUUUUCCCUGCUAGCUCAAACCAUAAAUACUAGACAAAUUUGUUUUCAUUGUAAAAAAAAUAAAUCGUUCUGUCAAUAAAUGGU